CACCUUAUUUCACUUCAUCCUUCUUGUAACCAUAUUGUCAAUUAGGAAAGCUCAAUCAGAUACAAAAACAGGAAAUUCGUUAAAAGUAACAUUUGUAGAAGAUACUAGUUGAGGAGGAGAGACUUUUGAGGAAGGCUGUGUGUGUUUGUGACACUCUUGUGACCGUGCCAAGAAAACGUAAGCAAAUACCAAGCCUCCAAAUCCUAAUGCAACAAGUCCUGAAUCCCUUGCAGGUAUGUCCUGGAUGAUGAAUACACAAGCUCAGUAGGCUCCAAAUUUCCAGUCCGGUGGUCCCCCCCGGAAGUCCUGAUGUAUAGCAAGUUCAGCAGCAAAUCUGACAUUUGGGCUUUUGGGGUUUUGAUGUGGGAAAUUUACUCCCUGGGGA
rnacentral:sRNA from 1 species